rnacentral:misc_RNA from 1 species
AAGAAUUGCCCCGUCUUCUCGAAGAUGGGUUCUAUUCCAAACCGUGUUUACAUACCUUUGUUGCUUUGGCGGGCGCAGUCAGCCGGAGGACCACAACUCUUUUGUUUAGUAAUGUCUGAGUACUAUAUAAUAGUUA